CAAAGCAAAACAUAAGAAAUGUUAUUGAAACAGAUAACUGUCCUGAUGUCUAAGAACCUUGCUUGAUGAGCAGACACUUGAGAUCCUAAUGAGAUCAGGAAUGUUUGCAACAUCAUCUGCA